UGGCACAACAGUUAAAGCACUCGACUGCUAACCGAAAGGUUGGUGGUUCGAAUCCACC
rnacentral:tRNA from 1 species